GGCCCGGGCGGGGCCUGUCCUGGGGACCUGGCGAGGCCCGGCCUCUGCCAGCCAAGCCUGCUGGGGACGACCGAGGUAGCCCGGGCUCGGCUUAGGAAGGCAGCGGGACUCGAGGCCUUGGGGUCCGAGUCCGAACUCGCUCCUCUAGCGCCGGGCGGGGAGCGAGUGGGAGAGCGGCCGCGAAGCUCCAGUGUUGAAAACGCACCCCUCCCAGCUUUUUGCAAGGCCUACUUGGGGGCGGAGAGACAAGCAAGCUGUCAUGUUAUAAGCAGCCCUUUGAGGGGUCCAUGUGAUGUCAAGGAAUGAAGUCUCUAGCCAACAUUUAAUGAGGAACUGAGGCCCACCAACAACCUUGAGUGAGCUUGGAAGUAGCUCCUUCAGCAUCAGUUGGGUGUCGAGAUGACUACUGACAGCUUGACUGCAACUUCAUGAGAGUCUUCUGGACCAGAACCACUCAAUUUGGAUAUGUCUGGACGUUAUGUAGGCUGGAGUAGUCAGCAAUUACUUGCCUGAGGAAGGGAAGGCCUCCUCCUUUAAGAAAAGAAUAGGCUGGGUGCGGUGGCUCAUACUUGUAAUCCCAGCAUUUUGGGAGGCUGAGGAGGGUGGAUCACCUGAGGUCAGGAGUUUGAGACCAGCCUAAGGAACAUGAGUCAGGGUUUCCCCAUGUUGGUCAGCCUGGUCUCAAACUCCUGACUUCAGGUGAUCCACCUGCCUCAGCCUCCCAAAGCGCUGGGAUUACAGGAUUCCGUUCCAAGAUGGCCAAAUAGGAACAGCUCUGGUCUGCAGCUCCCAGUGUGAUCGACGCAGAAGACGGAUGAUUUCUGCAUUUCCAACUGAG
ensembl:lncRNA MIR3936HG MIR3936 host gene